GGGAGCAGGCGCUCACCUGAGCUGACUCAGAAAUUGGAAUGAGUUGUCUGUGGAUCCUGUAAGGAGCCUGGACAUGGUGAAGAGAAUGCCUUGACCAUCAGGAGACAGCUUAGCUUGUUGAAUCUUGAUCACUUCUUCUGACCGCUUUGGAUCUUAAAAGAACAAGGUGAGACACACCUCAAAUGACAGAAUCCCACAUCAAGCUUUCUCUCCUGGGGAGUUAACCCCCCUGGGGCUAACCCUUCACAAAGGCGGGAUGGAAGCCAGUGGAAAAGUACCCAGCUUUUCCUCCUUUACCUACUGUUCAGAGAUCCCAGAAGAAUCAAACCCUGGUGUCUGCAGCAGUGAGCCUGUGUGUUUCCUUAUCUCGGCUUUUCCUCCUUCUCUGGAUCAUCUCCCAAACAAGCAAAUCAUGCAUCUAAGUCCUUGUACUUAGGCUCUGCUUCUGGGGAGACGCAAAAUAAAACAGUUAAAAAAAA
rnacentral:lncRNA from 1 species